GGCCUCCCAAUGCUUAUCACAGGCUGUGUUCUUUACACUGACUGUAUAGAAAGAGGAGGUACAGUAACUACACCCCAUAUACACCUCAACUCAGGCCCUUUGCCUAUAUUGUGAAUGGGGGGACAAAA